AUAACAUUGCGAUCAAUUAUAGUCCAACGAAUACAUUUAGAAUGUGUUGUCUUGCGGUCAGAAAACCACUCAUUACCGUGUAAACAAAAACCAGUUUUUCGCAUUUUCUUGCCGCAAGACAAUGAAACAUCGUCCUGUCUUGCUGGCAAAUUUCUUGUUUU